rnacentral:rRNA from 1 species
GACGAACGCCGGCGGCGUGCUUAACACAUGCAAGUCGAACGGAAAGGCCCUGCUUUUGUGGGGUGCUCGAGUGGCGAACGGGUGAGUAACACGUGAGUAACCUGCCCUUGACUUUGGGAUAACUUCAGGAAACUGGGGCUAAUACCGGAUAGGAGCUCCUGCUGCAUGGUGGGGGUUGGAAAGUUUCGGCGGUUGGGGAUGGACUCGCGGCUUAUCAGCUUGUUGGUGGGGUAGUGGCUUACCAAGGCUUUGACGGGUAGCCGGCCUGAGAGGGUGACCGGCCACAUUGGGACUGAGAUACGGCCCAGACUCCUACGGUAGGCAGCAGUGGGGAAUAUUGCACAAUGGGCGGAAGCCUGAUGCAGCAACGCCGCGUGCGGGAUGACGGCCUUCGGGUUGUAAACCGCUUUCGCCUGUGACGAAGCGUGAGUGACGGUAAUGGGUAAAGAGGCACCGGCUAACUACGUG